UACGUAGGGGGCUAGCGUUGUCCGGAAUCAUUGGGCGUAAAGCGCGCGUAGGCGGCCCGGUAAGUCCGCUGUGAAAGUCAAAGGCUCAACCUUUGAAUGUCAGCGGAUACUGCCGGGCUAGAGUCCGGAAGAGGCGAGUGGAAUUCCUGGUGUAGCGGUGGAAUGCGCAGAUAUCAGGAGGGACACCAACGGCGAAGGCAGCUCGCUGGGACGGUACUGACGCUGAGGCGCGAAAGCGUGGGGAGCGAACAGG
rnacentral:rRNA from 1 species